rnacentral:rRNA from 1 species
AUUGAACGCUGGCGGCAUGCUUUACACAUGCAAGUCGAACGGUAACAGGGUGCUUGCACCGCUGACGAGUGGCGAACGGGUGAGUAAUGCGUCGGAACGUGCCGAGUAGUGGGGGAUAACGCAGCGAAAGUUGUGCUAAUACCGCAUACGUACUGAGGUAGAAAGUGGGGGACCUUCGGGCCUCACGCUAUUCGAGCGGCCGACGUCUGAUUAGCUAGUAGGUGAGGUAAAGGCUCACCUAGGCGACGAUCAGUAGCGGGUCUGAGAGGAUGAUCCGCCACACUGGGACUGAGACACGGCCCAGACUCCUACGGGAGGCAGCAGUGGGGAAUUUUGGACAAUGGGCGAAAGCCUGAUCCAGCCAUGCCGCGUGUCUGAAGAAGGCCUUCGGGUUGUAAAGGACUUUUGUCGGGGAGGAAAUCCCCAGCGUUAAUACCGCUGGGGGAUGACAGUACCUGAAGAAUAAGCACCGGCUAACUCCGUGCCAGCCGCCGCAGUAACAC